UACGUAGGGGGCAAGCGUUAUCCGGAAUUACUGGGUGUAAAGGGAGCGUAGACGGUAAUGUAAGUCUGGAGUGAAAGGCGGGGGCCCAACCCCCGGACUGCUCUGGAAACUAUGUUACUGGAGUGCAGUAGAGGAAAGUGGAAUUCCUAGUGUAGCGGUGGAAUGCGUAGAUAUUAGGAGGAACAUCAGUGGCGAAGGCGACUUUCUGGACUGUAACUGACGUUGAGGCUCGAAAGCGUGGGGAGCAAACAGG
rnacentral:rRNA from 1 species